GAUGAAGAACGCAGCGAAAUGCGAUACGUAAUGUGAAUUGCAGAAUUCAGUGAAUCAUCGAAUCUUUGAACGCAUAUUGCGCUCUCUGGUAUUCCGGAGAGCAUGCUUGUUUGAGUAUCAGUAAACACCUCAACUUCCAUAUCUUUUUUGAAAUGGGAGUUGGACUUGAGUGAUCCCAACGCUUUUCCUCACCGAAAAGUGGCGGGUUACUUGAAAUGCAGGUGCAGCUGGACUUUUCUCUGAGCUAUAAGCAUAUCUAUUUAGUCUGCCUAAAAACAGAUUAUUACCUUUGCUGCAGCUAACAUAAAGGAGAUUAGUUCUUGUGCUGACUGAUGCAGGAUUCACAAAGACAGGCUUCGGCCGACUUUGUAAACUCGAUCUCAAAUCAAGUAAGACUACCCGCUGAACUUAAGCAUAUCAAUAAGCGGAGGA
rnacentral:misc_RNA from 1 species